AUACCUGCAACCUGCUGGCAGCAUCAUAAUCACUGCAACAAACAAACAAACACUUCAGACUUGUCCAUGCUUCUGUUCAUAAAAUUGACUCCAAGCAAAGCUGGUUAAGUUUUGUAGAGCUUUAUUAAUAUAGUUGGUUAAGCAUUGAUUAAAUAUCCACUUCACAGUACUCCGGAGUAUUUGGUUAGAAAUAACUAUGAUUUGUUUUCAUGUGAAGUUGUGAACUGUGCGAGUCAUCAUUGUUAUGCUUGCAUGCAUAUUACUAGCAAUUAUAUAUCUGCUGCGGCUUUUUAAUUAGUUAGUUCACUUGAAGUGGAGAUUAGUUCUAGUUUUAAUGGAAGAGAUUAAUAAUGGGUCCAUACUCGUGAAACAAUACAGAAUUGCUGAUAUUGUUGUUACUUUUCUCAUUCAUCAUAUGCUUUUUAUAUACAAGGAUAAUAUCAAUCUAGAUGCUAAAAAUCAGCUGUUACAUAAUUAUAAAUUGAUGCCGUAAAUUGUGAGAAAUUUUUCAGAGCUCCCGAAGGACCACGCGGCAGUCUGACGUGGUUCUCCAUUUCAUUCAAAUUUUGACAUAUAGAUUUUUAUCAUGAAAAACUAUUUUAGCGAAUUUGUCAAAUACCAUUUUGGGUUUCUUAUUGAUUUUUUAAAUUCUAUACCCUAAACCCCUAUUAACCAUGUACCCUAACCCCUAAAUCUUAUACCCUAAACCCUAAGCCAAACUCAUAAAAGACCUAAGACGGGCAUUUUACAAAAUAUAGAAAAUCUUAGUUUAUAUUUUAGUUGUAAUAAAUUCACGUGUUAAAAUUUAAUUGGGAAGAGAGGACCACGUCAGACUGUCACGUGGUCCUUCGGGAGCAUUGAAAAAUUUCUCGUAAAUUGCAGGAUUGCAAAUGAUCAUGCUAAUAUGGAGAAAUUUUUCAGUGUUCCCGAAUGACCAUGUGACAGUCUGACGUGGUCGUUUUGUAACAUCUCAAAAAUUUGGAUUUCUAUUUUAAAAAGGAAAAAUUAUUUUUCGGGUUAUUUUUAUUUUGAUUUCUAUUAUUCUUUCAAUUCUUUGUGGCUUUCGAAAAUUAUUUCAAUUUUUGGUUUGUCAAAAUUUAUGUUUCGAGCAUGUAGGAUUAACCAACCUAGAUGUCGUUACGAGUUCAUAGGAUUUUACGGAAGUGUUUUCGGACAUCGGAGCUAUUUUUAAUGAUUUUUAGAAGUUGGUAUUAUCCAAAAAUUAAUUAAAAAUAUAUAUUUUUAAGUCUGUUUGAUCUAGCGCGUCAGAUCUUUUAAACCGCUAGAUCUGGACCAUUAAUGGAGUUUAUAUAUAUAGGAUUCAGAUCAGUCUCAGACCCAGACCCAGUCAGCCUCGACCCUUAUAGCAGUGGUGGUCGACCCGGUUGCAUGUUGGUCCUCUGGCGACGGCGAGGAGAAAGAAUGGGAGCAUCAGCUUCAUCUCAACCUCGUGAUCCUCCUUGUGGUCUCGAUUUUGUCAAAGGAACUUUGAUGAGGGAGAUUUGAAAGGGAGAAAGAGAAGCUGGGUUCAUCGGUGAUUUUCCGAUUCUGGCCAUGACAGCAAGCACGAGUGGCAGUGGUAGCUUCGCCUGGACCUGUUGAAAAUUUCUGUGGCCUUAGUUUUCAAAGAGAAGCUCGGAGGAGGGAGAAUCAAAGAGAAGAAGUUAUGGGAUUUUCCGGUGAGGGUUUGGUGUUUGCCGGCGACCUUUGUUUUCGAUUUAGGUAUUAAGGUCGGUUCAUUUAUGAGCUUUACAUGCUUCUAUGAUUGAAUUUGAGUUUGGGUGUGUUUUGGAGAAGUUAGGUUUUGGCAGAGGAGGACCGCCAUGUUUGUUGUUGUGCACAACGGCAGUGGAGGUGUUUCUAUUGUUUUUUGGUUUCAAAUUUGUAUGCUAGAGUUGGAUUGAUGAUUAGUAUUGUCUGGAAUUGUUGAAAUUGUAAAAUUGGAGUUAGAGAGCUGAGUUGCAGGUUGUUCGGGUUUACUGUGUUUGGUGUUGAUAACAGUUGUGAUGGUUAUAGUUGUGAGUUUUGAAGAUAAAGUGGGAAUACUGAUUGUGAAGGAGCGAAUUCUGACGUUUGAUUCAAGAAACAUGGGAAGUAGUAGUGUGUUAUAUUCAUUUUUGGUGUUCAUACUUGUGAGCUGGUUCGAUAAAUGGUAUAUAUUGUGAAAUUGGUUAUGAUCUUAUGUGUUAAGUCGGUUGAUGAGGAUUGUAGGGUUAGAGUUAAUACAUUUAUCGGUAUGGCUAUUUGUUUGAUUCCAGAAUUGGAGAAGUUGAGUGAAAGAGGAGAUCAUGUGGGAAUAAUGUUUUAUGCUGUGUUUAGAAAUUUGAAUAAAUGUGCAUGUUGGCUCGAAAUGGGAUAAAAGGUGUAAUUGGAUAGAUGAUGUGGGUGUCCAAAGUAGAAUAUGAGUUUGAUCAUGUUGAUUUGAUGUGAUUCAUCAACAAUAUGGGAAUAAGGAUUCAAUACAAGGAUCAAAGGCGUAUUACAAUUGCAUGAGCACACUACUGGAAAAAACUACUUAGGAGACGGAAUUAAAACAAUUUCGUCUCCUAAGUGUGACUUAGGAGACGGAACCCGUAGCCUAAGUGGUCACUUAGGUGACGGAAAAGUCUUUCGUCUCCUAAGUUAGGAGACGGAACCAUUUACUUAGGAGACGAAAUUAUUUUUUUAAAAAUAAAAAUAAAAAAGUAACCACUUAGGCGACAGAACUGCUUUUCGUAGCCUAAGUUCCUCAUAGGAGACGGAAUAUUCUACUUAGGAGACGGAUUUUUUUUUUUUAAAAAAUUGAAAAAAAUGAAAAACUUAGGCGAUGGAAUUCAUUCCGUCGCUUAAGUGGAACUUAGAAGACGGAAUGUUUUACUUAGGAGACGGAAUUUUUUUAAUAAAUUUUUUUAAAUCACUUAGGCUACGAAUUGAGACAAUUCCGUCUCCUAAGUAAGAAAAACUUUGGCGGUCAAACCUUCCGCCAAAAUUUGAGAAGAUUUCAAAUGAAAUUUUUUGAAAAAAUUAGGUCCCAAUUUAUUUAAACUCACAAACUCUAUAUUUCUUUUACUCCUCCUUCGAUUCAAACACUCUUAAUCUUUUAUCUUCCCCUUUUCUCUCUCUCCCACUCAAUUUUUCAGAUCUAAACUACCACAGCCGACUUCUCCAAGGCCGGCGUCGACUUCUUCAAGGCUGACCUCCCUAGCCCAGACCAGCGUCGACUUCGCUCUCUCCUCCGCUGCCUCUCCUCCACCACCACAGCCUAGACCGGCGUCAACUUCUCCAAGGCCGACCUCCCUAGCCCAGACCGGCGUCGACUUCGCUCUCUCCUCUGCUGCCUUUCCUCCACCACCACUCAACGUCGCUCACCAUCCUUUCCUACCAACAACCUAAUCUCCUCCAAACCCCUCUAUCCUCCACCCUCGACCAUCGGCCCUCCUCCUUGUCGAAUUCUGUGCUCAAGGUUGAAAGGAGUUUCUACACUUGACUCAAGACUGUGCUCAAGGCUGGUUUUUGAAUUUUUUUUAGAUCUAGAAUGGAGGUGAGCUUGGGUGAUGAUGAUAUGUAUAAAUAGUGAUUGAAAUUGGGUGAUUGAAAUUCGUAUUUCGGGAUUAGAUUUGAUGGAGGUCUGGGUUUUGCUUAGGAAAACCGGAGGCGGCAUCGAUGUUUGUCGGAGGUGGCGGUGGUGUUAGCAAGGGUGGUGAGAUUUGGGGUGGUGGUAGAAUGGGUGGUGGGUUUCAGACAGAAAAAAAAAUAGAAACGAAAAGAAAUAGAAAGAAAAAGUAAAGAAACUGAAAAUAAAAAUAAAAAUAAUAGAAAUGAAAUUUAAUUAAUUAAAAUAAUUUUUUAAAAUAUUUUAAGUUCCGUCACUUAAGCACUUAGGAGACGGAAUCUAUUCCGUCGCCUAAGCACUUAGGAAACAGAACCCAUUCCGUCGCCUAAGUAAUUUUUAGUCGACGAAAAUCAAUUUUCCGUCGUCCCGUCACCUACCUCACCGCUCCUAGGCGACGGAUCUUAGCCGACGGCUAUUCCGUCGCCUAAGUUCUUAGGAGACGAAUUUUGUUACUUAAGAGACGAAACCAUUACGUCUCCUAAGUGGUUUUUUCCAGUAGCGGCAUAAGGAUAAAUAUUUUAGAAAGCGUGUCGCGGUGUUACUAAUUUUGUUUGACGUCAGAACUAACACUUGGAUUCUAGGUAGAGUCUUUCUCGGGGAACCUUUAUUUAAAUUGAUAAUUAGAUUAUAAUUGAAAUCGUUGAUUUGUGUGACAUUGAUUGAUUAACUCUUGGUUGUUAUUGUUUUCGAUAAAGUAUGUGUAAUAUGUGAUUAUGAUCGAUGUUAUCGCUUUUCAUUAAAGCAUGUAUUUGAUAUUGAAAUGAUAGUAUUGAUAUUCAGUUGACAUGCAUAAUGCAUUGUGAGGAAUUGUGAGAAAUAGUGAGAAAUAGUGAGAAUAGUGAUUCUGGAGAGGAGAAUGAGAUUGAUAGAAUAGAUAUAUUUUGUGUAGUUGAGUUUUCUCAUGGGGAUUUCCAGUAGCUAUGGUCAGCCCACCUGCACUGCACAAAUGAGUGGGGAAUGUAUGUAGGUCGAUAAAACGAUCUUUCAGGUUUCGAGACUAGGAACCAUGAGAUUAACAAAAGACUAACAAAAGAGGUAUUGGAGUUUAUAUAUUACUAAUUUAUUAGGUCGUAUAUUCGAGACAUCUACACGGUAUAGGACGUGUAGGUACAUAUGUCUUGGGUGUAUGAACUAAUUAGUCAGUAAUAGAGUGGAGGGAUGCUAAUGCAUCGAUUUGUGGUUAUUUAUGUAAAAUAUUGUUUGAUAUGUGAUAAUUUGAUUGUGUGACAUAGUUAAGUAUAACUAAAGAGGUUUGGCUCUACUGAACUUAAGCUCACCCCUAUUAGUCUUGUUCAGGUUCGUACAAGGACAAGUGUUUCUAGGAGACUAACUGUGUUGUUUGGCUGACGUGUAGGAGAGUCAAGAAGGAUUACCGAAGUUUCUAGUGAGCUAGACAACAAGACCUAUUUUGUUUCUGUAAUUAUUUUUGUUAUUACAAUUUAUUUUGUUUUUAACAAUUUCUGGAAAAGUAUUUGAAUUUAUAUUAUUUUCUUUUACUUUUUCCACUCACACCUCGAAUUCGGGGUUAGGUGCUUGGAAACCACCGACACCGGGUCCAGGGUGUGACAUCUCUAUUCCAUUCAAAUUUUGACAUGUGAAUUUUGAUGAUGAAAAACUAUUUUAGCUAUUUUAUCAAAGACCAUUUUGGGUUUCUUGUUGAUUUUUUAAACCCUGAACCCUAAACUUAUACCCUAUCCAUAUACCCUAUACCUUAUCCCCUAAACUCUAUCUUCUAAAUUUUAUACCCUAAACCCUAUACCCUACACCCUAAACUAUAGUCCAAACUCACAAAAGACCCAAUGACAGUCGUUUCACAAAAUAUAGAAAGCCUUAAUUUAUAUUUUAGCUGUAACAAAUCCACGUAUCAAAAUUUAAUUAGCAGGGAGGAACACGUCAGACUGUCACGUGGUGAACACGUCAGACUGUUACGUGGUCAUUCAAGACUAUUUACAAAUUUCUAGCUAAUAUGCUACUGAUAUGCUAUGAUCUUGUUGAUUUGUUGUUAACCUGAGAUUGAGUACUAGGCUAAUGCUGGUGAGGAAUUAACUGUGGAAUGCACCCUAAACCCUAUACCCUAAACCAUAGUCCAAACUCACAAAAGACCCAUGACGGCCAUUUCACAAAAUAUAGAAAAUCUUAAUUUAUUAUUUUAGUUGUAACAAAUCCACGUGUCAAAAUUUAAUUGACAAGGAGGAACACGUCAGACUGCCACGUGGUUCUUCAGUACCAUUUAAAAAUUUCUCGCAAAUAUGCUAUGAUCUUCUUAUUUGUUGUUAAAUAGAGAUUGAGUACUAGGCUUCAAUGCUGGUGAGGAAUUAACUGUUGAAUGUACCCUAAACCAUAGUCUAAACUCACAAAAGACCUAUGACGGCCAUUUCACAAAAUAUAGAAAACUUUAAUUUAUAUUUUAGCUAUAACAAAUCCACGUGUCAAAAUUUAAUUGGCAGAGAGGAACACGUCAGACUACCACGUGAUCCUUCAUGACCAUUUAAAAAUUUCUCAUUAAUAUGCUAUUGACAUGCUAUGAUCUUGCUGAUUUGUAUGGAAUAAAAUUCUCAAGUUGUUGACAUACUUUAUGCCACUUUUCAUGAUUCUUAUAAUCUAUUAAUGUAAAAACGAAGGUUACAUCGCAUGCAUGACUCUUCAAAAUUACUUUAUUUAGUUACGUCACUUAUGAGCCAUGAUAGACAAAUCUAAGAGAAAAACAUCAUAGAUUCAACUAAAGCAAAUGGAACCUUAGUCCAUAAGUCUCAAAUAAAAGUAACCAAUGACACUAUCAAGGUAAACACCAGUAUAUAUAUAGUAGAUCUCUCCUCACAAUGAUUCUUGAGGGUUUUUGCCUUGCUUGAAUCAACCUCAAGAUGUUUUACCAUCCAUAUUCGUCAUGAGUGGAUAUCUGCUACAGAUUUUUUAAGAGAUUUUGCCUUACCAACUUUGUCAUAAGAGGUAAUACUCAUCUAGACUCCCUUUGAGGGGAUUUCGACUCACUUAAAUUCCUUUUGAGAGGUUACCCGAGUAAUUUUUCAGUACUUCCGAAGGACCAUGUGACAGUCUCACGUGGUCUUUCAUUCUAUUCAAAUUUUGACAUGUGGAGUUUCAUAAUGAAAAACUAUUUUAGCGAUUUUGCUAAAGAUCAUUUUGGGUUUCUUGUUGAUUUUUUAAAUCCUAAACCCUAAACCCUAAACCUUAAACCAUAUACCAUAAACCUAUACCCUAACCAUAUACCAUAUACCCUAUACCCUAACUCCUAAAUCUUAUACCCUAAACCCUAGGUUAAACUCAUAAAAGACCCAUGACGGUCAUUUUACAAAAUAUAGAAAACCUUAUUUUAUAUUUUAGUUGUAAUA
rnacentral:lncRNA from 1 species